rnacentral:rRNA from 1 species
UGAAAUUCUCUGCUUGCAGAGAAUGGAUUAGUGGCGAACGGGUGAGUAACACGUGGGUAACCUGCCCAUAAGAGGGGGAUAACAUUCGGAAACGGAUGCUAAUACCGCAUAGGUCUUUGAGACGCCUGUCUCUUAGAUGAAAGGUGGCUUCGGCUGCCGCUUAUGGAUGGACCCGCGGCGUAUUAGCUAGUUGGUGAGGUAAUGGCUCACCAAGGCUGUGAUACGUAGCCGACCUGAGAGGGUGAUCGGCCACACUGGGACUGAGACACGGCCCAGACUCCUACGGGAGGCAGCAGUAGGGAAUCUUCCACAAUGGGUGAAAACCUGAUGGAGCAAUACCGCGUGAGUGAAGAAGGUCUUCGGAUCGUAAAGCUCUGUUGUUAGAGAAGAACAAGUCGGGUAGUAACUGCCCCGGCCUUGACGGUAUCUAACCAGAAAGUCACGGCUAACUACGUGCCAGCAGCCGCGGUAAUACGUAGGUGACAAGCGUUGUCCGGAUUUAUUGGGCGUAAAGCGAGCGCAGGCGGUCUUUUAANUCUGAUGUGAAAGCCCACGGCUCAACCGUGGAGGGUCAUUGGAAACUGGAAGACUUGAAUGCAGAAGAGGAAAGUGGANUUCCAUGUGUAGCGGUGAAAUGCGUA